rnacentral:rRNA from 1 species
UGCCAGACUCCUACGGGAGGCAGCAGUGGGGAAUAUUGCACAAUGGGGGAAACCCUGAUGCAGCGACGCCGCGUGAGUGAAGAAGUAUUUCGGUAUGUAAAGCUCUAUCAGCAGGGAAGAAAAACCGACCAUAGGGUCGCUAGACGGUACCUGAUUAAGAAGCCCCGGCUAACUACGUGCCAGCAGCCGCGGUAAUACGUAGGGGGCAAGCGUUAUCCGGAUUUACUGGGUGUAAAGGGAGCGUAGACGGCAGCGCAAGUCUGAAGUGAAAUGCCGGGGCUUAACCCCGGAACUGCUUUGGAAACUGCCGGGCUGGAGUGCAGGAGGGGCAGGCGGAAUUCCUAGUGUAGCGGUGAAAUGCGUAGAUAUUAGGAGGAACACCAGUGGCGAAGGCGGCCUGCUGGACUGCAACUGACGUUGAGGCUCGAAGGCGUGGGGAGCAAACAGGAUUAGAUACCCCAGUA